UAAUACGGAGGGUGCAAGCGUUAUCCGGAUUCACUGGGUUUAAAGGGUGCGUAGGCGGACAUGUAAGUCCGUGGUGAAAUCUCCGAGCUUAACUCGGAAACUGCCAUGGAUACUAUAUGUCUUGAAUGUUGUGGAGGUUAGCGGAAUAUGUCAUGUAGCGGUGAAAUGCAUAGAUAUGACAUAGAACACCAAUUGCGAAGGCAGCUGGCUACACAAAUAUUGACGCUGAGGCACGAAAGCGUGGGGAUCAAACAGGAUUAGAUACCCUGGUAGUCCACGCCCUAAACGAUGAUUACUCGACAUACGCGAUACACAGUGUGUGUCUGAGCGAAAGCAUUAAGUAAUCCACCUGGGAAGUACGACCGCAAGGUUG
rnacentral:rRNA from 1 species